rnacentral:rRNA from 1 species
UUAAAUUGAAGAGUUUGAUCAUGGCUCAGAUUGAACGCUGGCGGCAGGCCUAACACAUGCAAGUCGAACGGUAACAGGAAGCAGCUUGCUGCUUCGCUGACGAGUGGCGGACGGGUGAGUAAUGUCUGGGAAACUGCCUGAUGGAGGGGGAUAACUACUGGAAACGGUGGCUAAUACCGCAUAACGUCGCAAGACCAAAGAGGGGGACCUUCGGGCCUCUUGCCAUCAGAUGUGCCCAGAUGGGAUUAGCUUGUUGGUGAGGUAACGGCUCACCAAGGCGACGAUCCCUAGCUGGUCUGAGAGGAUGACCAGCCACACUGGAACUGAGACACGGUCCAGACUCCUACGGGAGGCAGCAGUGGGGAAUAUUGCACAAUGGGCGCAAGCCUGAUGCAGCCAUGCCGCGUGUAUGAAGAAGGCCUUCGGGUUGUAAAGUACUUUCAGCGGGGAGGAAGGUGUUGUGGUUAAUAACCGCAGCAAUUGACGUUACCCGCAGAAGAAGCACCGGCUAACUCCGUGCCAGCAGCCGCGGUAAUACGGAGGGUGCAAGCGUUAAUCGGAAUUACUGGGCGUAAAGCGCACGCAGGCGGUCUGUCAAGUCGGAUGUGAAAUCCCCGGGCUCAACCUGGGAACUGCAUUCGAAACUGGCAGGCUUGAGUCUUGUAGAGGGGGGUAGAAUUCCAGGUGUAGCGGUGAAAUGCGUAGAGAUCUGGAGGAAUACCGGUGGCGAAGGCGGCCCCCUGGACAAAGACUGACGCUCAGGUGCGAAAGCGUGGGGAGCAAACAGGAUUAGAUACCCUGGUAGUCCACGCCGUAAACGAUGUCUACUUGGAGGUUGUGCCCUUGAGGCGUGGCUUCCGGAGCUAACGCGUUAAGUAGACCGCCUGGGGAGUACGGCCGCAAGGUUAAAACUCAAAUGAAUUGACGGGGGCCCGCACAAGCGGUGGAGCAUGUGGUUUAAUUCGAUGCAACGCGAAGAACCUUACCUGGUCUUGACAUCCACGGAAGUUUUCAGAGAUGAGAAUGUGCCUUCGGGAACCGUGAGACAGGUGCUGCAUGGCUGUCGUCAGCUCGUGUUGUGAAAUGUUGGGUUAAGUCCCGCAACGAGCGCAACCCUUAUCCUUUGUUGCCAGCGGUUAGGCCGGGAACUCAAAGGAGACUGCCAGUGAUAAACUGGAGGAAGGUGGGGAUGACGUCAAGUCAUCAUGGCCCUUACGACCAGGGCUACACACGUGCUACAAUGGCGCAUACAAAGAGAAGCGACCUCGCGAGAGCAAGCGGACCUCAUAAAGUGCGUCGUAGUCCGGAUUGGAGUCUGCAACUCGACUCCAUGAAGUCGGAAUCGCUAGUAAUCGUGGAUCAGAAUGCCACGGUGAAUACGUUCCCGGGCCUUGUACACACCGCCCGUCACACCAUGGGAGUGGGUUGCAAAAGAAGUAGGUAGCUUAACCUUCGGGAGGGCGCUUACCACUUUGUGAUUCAUGACUGGGGUGAAGUCGUAACAAGGUAACCGUAGGGGAACCUGCGGUUGGAUCACCUCCUUACCUUAAAGAA